AUAUUAAUAUUUCGUUUAUAAAUGUUUGUAAAUUAUUUUACUAAUUCAAAUAUUUUAAACUCGGUUUUUCUUUUCCUAUCUGUCAAUAAAAGCUGACGAUAAAAGAAUAGUGAUUUUAAUAAUUAUUGGCUUAAGCACUUUAUAUAUUACGUAGUAUUUAAACAGUGUAUACGAUCUUGAGAGAAACGUAUUAUCCUUGUAAUCUUAUGGUCACAAACAGUAUUGUGCCCAUUUCAGACUCAGUGCUCUUAAGAAUUAAGAUAUUGGAUCAUAUUAUUACAUUUUUGUUUCCAUUGCAUUGUGUGGUUAUGGUAUGGAUAGUAGUAGUAAAAAUGCAGCUUUUAUUGAAAAAAGUAAUGUAUAAAUGGAAUAAAAUGCAGUCUAACAGAACUCUAAAGCUGUUGAUUUUCUGGCUUGAUCACUUUUCAUUUGGAAUUGAAGCACCAAUUUUUAAGCAAUGUAUAGAAGACUAUUAGUAUCAUUAGUGAUGUGUAUUCAUCAGUUUAAUAAAAGUACUUAAAUAUUUGCAUUUA